rnacentral:rRNA from 1 species
UACGUAGGGUGCAAGCGUUGUUCGGAAUCACUGGGCGUAAAGGGAGCGUAGGCGGAACCGUAAGUUAGAAGUGUAAUUCCCAGGCUUAACCUGGGACUUGCUUUUAAUACUGCGGUCCUUGAGUUUGGAAGAGGGAGAUGGAAUUCCAGGUGUAGCGGUGGAAUGCGUAGAUAUCUGGAAGAACACCAGUAGCGAAGGCGGUCUCCUGGUCCUAUACUGACGCUGAGGCUCGAAAGCUAGGGGAG